rnacentral:rRNA from 1 species
GUGGGGAAUCUUGCGCAAUGGGGGCAACCCUGACGCAGCCAUGCCGCGUGAAUGAUGAAGGCCUUAGGGUUGUAAAGUUCUUUUGCCCGUGACGAUGAUGACGGUAACGGGAGAAUAAGCUCCGGCUAACUUCGUGCCAGCAGCCGCGGUAAUACGAAGGGGGCUAGCGUUGUUCGGAAUUACUGGGCGUAAAGCGCGCGUAGGCGGACUGGAAAGUUGGGGGUGAAAUCCCGGGGCUCAACCUCGGAACUGCCUUCAAAACUAUCAGUCUGGAGUUCGAGAGAGGUGAGUGGAAUUCCGAGUGUAGAGGUGAAAUUCGUAGAUAUUCGGAGGAACACCAGUGGCGAAGGCGGCUCACUGGCUCGAUACUGACGCUGAGGUGCGAAAGCGUGGGGAGCAAACAGGAUUAGAAACCCGGGUAGUCC